rnacentral:lncRNA from 1 species
UCUGAUUUACUUUAUUGUUGUAAUGACAGAAAAACAAAGUUUUCAUGUCCCCCCCUCCAUGUUUUUUGGUUAUCUGGAUUCCUUUUUAGGUAAAAUACAAAUCUACAGGCUGUCCAACUUUUUAAACACAGAGUUUUUCUUUUCUACGGUUUGUAUAAGCCCUUCAUGAAUUAAGUCAAUUGGGCUUAUGCCUGAAUGUGCUACAACUAUUUUUCCAAGUUUCUUAGCUUUUGAAAAUUU